rnacentral:rRNA from 1 species
UACGUAGGUGGCAAGCGUUGUCCGGAUUUACUGGGCGUAAAGCGAGCGCAGGCGGUUCCUUAAGUCUGAUGUGAAAGCCCACGGCUUAACCGUGGAGGGUCAUUGGAAACUGGUCGACUUGAGUGCAGAAGAGGGAAGUGGAAUUCCAUGUGUAGCGGUGAAAUGCGUAGAGAUAUGGAGGAACACCAGUGGCGAAGGCGGCUUCCUGGUCUGUAACUGACACUGAGGCGCGAAAGCGUGGGGAGCAAACAGGAUUAGAUACCCCGGUAGU